UGAAGCCCUUAGUUCAAGUCCCAGUAUUGGCACACAUAUAGAAAAGUGACAUAAGCCCUAACUUUAUAGUAGAAUUGUAAUGGGGAGCUAGAAAUAAAGUUUUUCCAAUAUACUUCCUGCAGGAUUUUCUGUUCCAUAUAGUUCCUUGUAGUGAAGAGCUGCAGAGUCAUUUGUUUUGUACUAGUCAGCUCGUAAUUAAGCACAUGGGUGGAGAGGAGGAGUGAUGCACAUAAUCCAAGUCAGCCAAUACCAUUUUCUGGUGAAGUCCCUCCCCUUUGCCCCUGCACUCCUGUAGGUUAUUACCAUGAUUAUCAACAGCAGCAGGAGCCCUUCCUCAAGCUUGGGGAAAAACAGUUGAGGUGUUAAUGAUCCUUUUUGCCAGGCAUAAAACAAAGCAUCUUUACCCACUGUUCAUUACCGUCAGGUGCUCUUACCAAAACUCAGAAGGGGGAAAUCUGCUGCAGGCACCUAUGAGAAGUGGUAAAACAAUAGUUUCAUAUUCUACUACCUAACCUAGCCUGCUCUUACCCCCUUCCCUGUGCACCCACAUAUUUCACAGCUGUGAAAACUAGAAAAAAAUAGAAGAGAUGAGGUAGAUAGUAUUUUUUUAUCUAAGUUGAAUUUUUUUAAUUCUAGUUAAGGCAACAGGUUUUCCUUCCUAAUUCAAUUUCUCUUGUUCUGUUAUUAAACCAUUUUUUGCAUAGCUUUAGCACACAUACUUGCUAAGCAAUGGGAUGUGGCAUUCACAUGCUGGCACAUUUAAGUGUGAAAAAUAGUCUAAAAUCAGAAAAAGCAGAGUCGGCAAGAUAAUUGGUAACCCAUGUCCCAAGGAACCCCCACAGCUUUACCCUUUUCCCUGGUCAUGCUAAAAAUUGGGGUGAAAUGUUUAAAUAACAUUCUCUGGUUUGAGUGGUUUUUCUCCCGUGGAAGAGGGUGGCACUGAGCAGCAGCAAGUAUGGAUCAGAUGACAGGUCAGGGCUAAGAGAGAUCAAGCAGAAUGGACUCUGCAUAGAGGUGAAACUCAAAAGAGAUGCUCGCCUAUUUGCCCUGAGUUAGUAAUAGGCUAUAAGCUGGGGGAAAUUAAACUGACCUAGUGCCCUCUUUAGCUGAUCUCAUAAGUACUCAGAUGUCUUUACAUUCAUGUAGUGAAUUUAUAAUUGCUAGUAUAUUCCCUGUGGAAUAUAAUAUAUAUGUUAUUUAAUAAAAAUGAAGUUACUAUUAACUCUUACUUUUGCAGAUGACCUAAGUUGAAACAUGGAAGAAAUAAGUUUCCAAAAGUAAAAUCUCAAAUGUCCAUCAGAUGAUUAGUAGAUAAAAUAUGGCAUAUCCAAACAAUGCAAUAUCUUUUGGCAAUAAAAAAUUGCUGGUUUGUCACACCAUAGAUGAACUUU